rnacentral:rRNA from 1 species
AGAGAGAGACAUGCGCGCAUAUCAAUAAGCGGAGGAAAAGAAACUAACUAGGAUUCCCUCAGUAACGGCGAGUGAAGCGGGAAGAGCUCAAAUUUGAAAUCUUCAAGGUUCUACCUUGACGAAUUGUAGUUUAAAGAAGUGUUUUCUGUUGGAGUUUUGGUAAAAGUUCUUUGGAAUAGGACAUCAUAGAGGGUGAGAAUCCCGUAUUUGACCAUUAUUUCCAGCUUUGUGAUACACUUUCAAAGAGUCGGAUUGUUUGGGAAUGCAGUCCAAAAUGGGUGGUAAAUUUCAUCUAAAGCUAAAUACUGGCGAGAGACCGAUAGCGAACAAGUACCGUGAGGAAAGAUGAAAAGAACUUUGAAAAGAGAGUUAAACAGUACGUGAAAUUGUCAAAAGGGAAGCGUUUGACACCAGUGUUGUUUUCUCGAAAAUCAAUUAAAAAAGGCAGGAUUUUGUGUUGUAUUGACUUUAUCAGCUUUCUGCACUCUUUUCUUGUCUUUUUUAAUGCACUUUUCGUUUAACAAGUCAACAUCAAUUUCUUUUGUUGUAAAAGGGUCAUUGGAAGGUGGCUUUCUUUUCGGAGAAAGUGUUUAUAGCCUUUGGCCUCUGCAAUCGGAGAGAUUGAGGUCUGCAGCGUAGAUCCUUCGGGGUUAGAUACAUUUGUGCUAAGUUAUAGCCUUUCAUAGACAACUUGUUGACUAUGAUCAGUCAUGUAGCUUACUCGCUUAUGCUAUUUUACCUACGCUUAGGAUGUUGAUGUGAUACUGCGAGCA